AGCUGGACAAGUACUGGUCUCAGCAGAUUGAAGAGAGCACCACAGUGGUCACCACGCAGUCCGCUGAGGUUGGAGCUGUUGAGAUGA
rnacentral:pre_miRNA from 1 species